GACGAACGCUGGCGGCGUGCCUAAUACAUGCAAGUCGAACGCAGUGGGGACGGGUGAGUAACACGUGGGUAACCUCCCAUCAGAGGGGAUAACACUUGGAAACAGGUGCUAAACCGAUACUGAUGGAUGGACCCGCGGUGCAUUGGCUAGUUGGUGAGGUAACGGCCCACCAAGGCCACGAUGCAUAGCCGACCUGAGAGGGGGAUCGGCCAAACGGGGACGGAGACACGGCCCAGACUCCUACGGGAGGCAGCAGUAGGGAAUAUUGCACAAUGGGCGCAAGCCUGAUGCAGCCAUGCCGCGUGUAUGAAGAAGGCCUUCGGGUUGUAAAGUACUUUCAGCGGGGAGGCGUUACCCGCAGAAGAAGCACCGGCUAACUCCGUGCCAGCAGCCGCGGUAAUAC
rnacentral:rRNA from 1 species